rnacentral:rRNA from 1 species
GAACGAACGCUGGCGGCGUGCUUAAUACAUGCAAGUCGUGCGAGAAAGUACCCUUCGGGGUGCGAGUACAGCGGCAAACGGGUGAGUAACACGUAAGGAAUCUGCCUCCAAAUCCGGAAUAGCUCUGCCAACGCGGAAUUAAUGCCGGAUGUGGUUGCAUGGUCGCAUGGCUAUGCAACUAAAGGUGACCUCUUCGUUUGAAAGUUACCGUUUGGAGAUGACCUUGCGGCCCAUUAGCUUGUUGGCGGGGUAACGGCCCACCAAGGCUGCGAUGGGUAGCCGGCCUGAGAGGGUGAUCGGCCACAUUGGGACUGAGAUACGGCCCAGACUCCUACGGGAGGCAGCAGCAGGGAAUUCUGCGCAAUGGACGAAAGUCUGACGCAGCAACGCCGCGUGAGCGAUGAAGGUCUUCGGAUCGUAAAUCUCUGUUGAGUGGGAAGAAACGUCUCGGGGUUUACUAUCUCCGAGGCCUGACGGUACCACUCGAGGAAGCUCCGGAAAACUACGUGCCAGCAGACGCGGUAAUACGUAGG